GGUUGUCCAAGUUUAAGGUGGUAGGCUGGAAUCUUAGGUAAAUCCGGGAUUCUAAGGCCGAGAGCUGAUGACGAGUUGUCUUUUAGACAACGAAGUGGUUGAUGCCAUGCUUCCAAGAAAAGCUUCUAAGCUUCAGAUAACCAGGAACCGUACCCCAAACCGACACAGGUGGUUGGGUAGAGAAUACCAAGGCGCUUGAGAGAACUCGGGUGAAGGAA
rnacentral:rRNA from 1 species